ensembl:lncRNA
UGCACCUCCGCGCCUCAGUUGAGCCUGCAGUGUCUGGCAGCUCAGGAAAAAGCUAGCCCCUCCAAUGAGAUGCGACUCUAAAUCUGCUCCCCAAAGCCAGCCAACUCUUCUUCCUCGCCCCUCUGCAUCAGGCAGAAACCCCCCAACAAGCAGGAAAGGCUUCUCUUUGAAACGGGAGAAGUAUAAUGUGUCUGUAUAACUAGGGCUCUCCUUUACACGGAUGCCUGGGUUUAAGGAUGCACCAUAAAGAGAGACCGCAACUGGCUUCGUGAUAAGCCUGUUCAGAACUCAGAGCUCCAAGUAGCAGAGGAGGCUCAAGAUGGGAACAGAAGAGACGGGAGACACUCCUGGGAGAGCUCACAGUCCUGCCUGAGAAUGGCUCUACUAGAAAGGCUUACAAUGUCCGGAGUUAAUGUGUGGCUGUAAUUGACGGAUGAAGGCUGGAUGAAGGCCUGGCAGGUACUAAUACAUUAGAUGUUCAAAACACAAUUCGAUGUUAACUGAAUCGCUAGGCUUUUGGGGGGGUCUUCACUGUGACCUCUGAUACUGCCCCCAGUUGUUGGAAUAUGAAUCCUUGCUUUGAAAUUUCCGGCUUUGUCAUCUUAGGUAAGUUACUGAUCUCUUUGUUUCUGGCGUUUCUUACUGUUAAAAUGAGAUAAAAGUAACUUUUUUUGAGGUAGUAUGAUGUGAGAAUUAACUGAUAAUCUGCAUAAAUCAUAGUGUCUAAUAUUUGGCACAAAAUAUUUUCAAAUUCACUGAAAAACAAAUAAAAAUUAUCUAUAAAUGAAUAAAAUAUCCACAGGGAGAAUAUCUCACCUGCUGUUAGCCUACAGAUGAUUUUAUGGCCACAGAAAUAUAAUGAAAUUGAAGCAACCACUAAAGUCAAAAGAUUUUAGUAACAUUGUAAAUUACAAGUUACAAACUCUGUUUUCUCGAGUCAACAGAAAUGAAUGUGCCUGUUUUCAUUCCCUGUUGUUGUUUAGUCACUAAUUCAGGUACGACUCUUUUGCAACCGCAUGGACUGUAGCCCUCCAGGCUUCUCUGUCCACAGAAUUUCUCAGGCAAGGAUACUGGAGUGGGUUGCCACUUCCUUCUCCUGUGGAUCUUCCCAACCUAGCAACUGAACCUCAGCCUCCUGCAUUGGCAUGUGGAUUGUUUACUGCUGAGUCACCAGGAAAGCCCUUUCGUUCCCCCCCACUCUCCCAUUUCCCUGUUUCUCACUCAAUGCUGGCUGUAUCUGAAGUUUCGCCACCUGGGUCUACUAUUUGUGGUCUAAUGGGCACUUGCAUUCAUUCAUUCAGCAUACCUUUGCUUAUUGAUGGAAGAAGCCCACAGGUCACCUCGUUCCACCCCCACCCCUACCCAAGUCCUUGCAUCAGUAUAAGAAAAGAAUGGGCUUCUUAGCAGUCCAACAAAAAGACAGGCCUCAUCCAUUCUCCACAACAACAAAACUCCUGCUAGAAGCGAAACAGAAUAAAACUUUCCUUAACUUUCUCCUGUAAUGAAACAGUGAAAGAAGUAUUCACCAGAACACUUUUUGUGAUGUGGAAGUGUUUGAGCAGAGUCUGAGACAUGUGAAAGUGGCUGGAGCUAUUUCAAAGUCAGAACUCAAGAGGUGCUUGUUAGUCUUGAGAGAGCAAGAAGGACAAAAGGAAGAGAGGAAGAACUGAG